AGAGUUUGAUCCUGGCUCAGGACGAACGCUGGCGGCGCGCCUAACACAUGCAAGUCGAACGGAGUUAAUUUUUCUGAAGUUUUCGGAUGGACGAGAUUUUAACUUAGUGGCGAACGGGUGAGUAACACGUGAGCAACCUGCCCUUUAGUGGGGGACAACAGUUGGAAACGACUGCUAAUACCGCAUAAGACCACAGUACGGCAUCGUACAGUGAUCAAAGGAUUUAUUCGCUAGAGGAUGGGCUCGCGUCCGAUUAG
rnacentral:rRNA from 1 species